rnacentral:rRNA from 1 species
CCUACGGGAGACAGCAGUGAGGAAUAUUGGUCAAUGGGCGGAAGCCUGAACCAGCCAAGUCGCGUGAGGGAAUAAGGCCCUACGGGUCGUAAACCUCUUUUGCCGGGGAGCAAGGGCGGGGACGUGUCCCGUCCCGGAGAGUACCCGGAGAAAAAGCAUCGGCUAACUCCGUGCCAGCAGCCGCGGUAAUACGGGGGAUGCGAGCGUUAUCCGGAUUUAUUGGGUUUAAAGGGUGCGUAGGCGGGCUUUUAAGUCAGCGGUAAAAAUUCGGGGCUCAACCCCGUCUGGCCGUUGAAACUGGGGGCCUUGAGUGGGCGAGAAGAAGGCGGAAUGCGUGGUGUAGCGGUGAAAUGCAUAGAUAUCACGCAGAACCCCGAUUGCGAAGGCAGCCUUCCGGCGCCCUACUGACGCUGAGGCACGAAAGUGCGGGGAUCGAACAGGAUUAGAUACCCUUGUAGUC